rnacentral:misc_RNA from 1 species
ACAUCUCAACUCUCAUGGCUUGCCGUGAUGAGCUUGGACUUUGGGGGUCUUGCUGGCCUGUGGGUCAGCUCCUCUCAAACGGAUCAGCUUGCCAGUGUUUGGUGGUGUCCCAGGUGUGAUAACUAUCUACGCUUGUGGUCUUCUGCCAGGCAACCUUCAGCAAUGGGGGUUCACUGGAGCUCACAAAUGUCUCUCCUCGGUGAGGACAGCUCUUUGAAU